rnacentral:lncRNA from 1 species
UGACAGUGAAGGAUCUGGUCACUAAAGAGGUGUUAAUAUCUGAACCUGAAGGAGACGGGCUGUAUGAGAUCCCUAUGAACGUAAGGAGUUCUGAAUUGCAGGUGAAUCAUGUGGAGUUUGGCAAAAAGGCUAAUGCAAGGACCUGGCAUCUGAGGCUAGGGCACUUGCACUAGAGAGCAAUGGAAGAUUUAAAUAAAAAUAAGAUGAUUAUUGUUACAAAUUUUAAACACAUUCAUG